UGAUAGCCAGGCUGCAGGAUCGUUCCAUGCAGAGUCUCCACCUUUUUUCCUGAACGCGGAAGUGUUCCACGAUUCGACUGUUUUCAAUUUCCGGUCUCCAGUGUUUUCAAUCGCAUAGGCAUACAUUCUAAGCGGAAAUGCCCCACAAGCCAUAUUCCACUCCUGGAGAAUAUUUUAUUCCUCCUUGGAGCAGAUUCUGUCAUCACACCGAGGAACCAUCCUGUACUGUCUCCAAUCUCAACGUCCCAGCAUUUCUUGCAUCUUCUGUAACACAGAAAACUGCAGAUUGCUGAGGUGUUUUGGCACAUUGAUCAGCACUCCUGAAAAGUUCUCUGGAUCCAGCAGUCUACACUGGGCUCUGGAAAAACAUUCAAGAGUCAAAGAUGCUGAAUGACCAAUUCCCAAUGUGCUCCAAAUACUCGUGAUGGCGUAGUGGCUUGCCUCAAUCCGGGUGGCGGAGGACGAAACUCAGCUGCCUCCACGUCUGAGACAGUCAAUCCACGCAUUUUAUCACAUGGCUUGUUGAGCGUGUUACCGCGUUGAGUGUGUUACCGCGGAGACAUAGCGUGUGUAGAGGCUCACGGUAUUCUCCGCGGCCUCCACCCACAACUCACCACACUGAGAGCGAGAACCACAUUAUAGCGACCAAGAGGAGGUUAACCCAAUGCGACUCUACCCACCCCCAGUGUUUUUAAAGAUUUCCUGUUUCAGUGGC